rnacentral:rRNA from 1 species
GUGGGGAAUAUUGGGCAAUGGAGGCAACUCUGACGCAGCCAUGUCGCGUGCAGGAAGAAGGCGCUACGCGUUGUAAACUGCUUUUAACCGGGAAGAAACCCCAGGACGUGUCCUGGGUUGACGUUACCGGAGGAAUAAGCACCGGCUAACUUCGUGCCAGCAGCCGCGGUAAUACGAAGGGUGCAAGCGUUAUCCGGAUUCAUUGGGUUUAAAGGGUGCGUAGGCGGAGCGUUAAGUCAGUGGUGAAAUCCUGCAGCUUAACUGUAGACUUGCCAUUGAUACUGGCGCUCUUGAGUGCGCUUGAAGUGGGCGGAAUGUGCCGUGUAGCGGUGAAAUGCUUAGAGAUGGCACAGAACACCAAUUGCGAAGGCAGCUCACUAAGGCGAUACUGACGCUGAGGCACGAAAGCGUGGGGAUCGAACAGGAUUAGAUACCCGUGUAGUCC